rnacentral:sRNA from 1 species
GGGGAGAUCCGCGUGCCCCUCCGCCGCCUCAAGCCUUCGCAGAAGAAGCAUUUUAACAUCUGCCUCGAGCGCCAGGUCCCGGUCUGUGUGGGGGCUGCAGGGGCGCCAGGGGAGGGGGCCCUGGGGAGGCCAGGCUUCCAGAACCUUCUCUUUGCCCCCUCAGCUGGCGUCCCCCUCUUCCAUGUCAGCGGCGCUGAGGGGCAUCUCCUGUUACCUAAAGGAGUUGGAGCAGGCGGAGCAGGGGCAGGGGCUGCUGGAGGAGCGUGGCCGCAUCCUGCUGAGUCUCAGCUACAGCUCACGGCGCCGGGGACUGCUGGUAGGCAUCUUGCGCUGUGCCCAUCUGGCUGCCAUGGACGUCAACGGUUACUCGGACCCCUACGUCAAGACGUACCUGAGGCCCGAUGUGGACAAGAAAUCCAAGCAUAAGACGUGCGUGAAGAAGAAGACUCUCAACCCAGAAUUUAACGAGGAGUUUUUCUACGAGAUAGAGCUCUCCACUCUGGCCACCAAGACCCUGGAAGUCACCGUCUGGGACUAUGACAUUGGCAAAUCCAAUGACUUCAUUGGUGGCGUGUCCCUGGGGCCAGGUGCCCGAGGCGAGGCUCGGAAGCACUGGAGUGACUGCCUGCAGCAGCCAGAUGCAGCCCUGGAGCGCUGGCACACCCUGACCAGCGAGCUGCCCCCUGCAGCUGGGGCUCUGUCCUCAGCCUGAGUGGACAGCAGUGUCCCAGCACAGGCCCAUCGAGCCGGGUCCAGUACCCAACCUUCGCACGAGUGUGUUGCACGUUUACACGGGGUGGGCUGCCCCCACCCUGCACUACCUGUCUUAUUUUUGUGAGUCUCCGUGACCCGGGUCUGUCUGCUCAUGAGGGGCUGUGGAGUUCUAUGUUCACAUAUGCAAACCUCCUGCCUGACUCGCUAGUCCCUGCAAAUAUGCAAACCCCCCAUCAUGUGCACACCCGGGCAGUGCUCAGAGCCUGGCCCCAGGCCCCCGCGCUCCUCACUCCUGCCUCUCCACGCUGCCCCGUCCCUCUCCCCCGACAGGGAGGAGGUCGGAUUAGGGGAGGUUCAGAGGAGAAUGUCUCAAAAACAAAAAGACAAAAAACAAACCCAGAGCCACUCCUUUAAUACAGAAACGUCAUUGAAAAAACCUAGCCCUGUACAGCUGCCCUUUUAAAGAGGUGGCCAUCGCAGGGUCUCUGCCUCCCCAGCAGGUGGCAGAUGCUCCCGGCCACUCGUUUAAAUAACUGUCCCCUG